rnacentral:rRNA from 1 species
AUUGAACGCUGGCGGCAUGCCUUACACAUGCAAGUCGAACGGUAACGGGCCUUCGGGUGCCGACGCGUGGCGAACGGGCGAGUAAUACAUCGGAACGUGCCCGAUCGUGGGGGAUAACGAGGCGAAAGCUUUGCUAAUACCGCAUACGAUCUACGGAUGAAAGCCGGGGACCGCAAGGCCUUGCGCGGACGGAGCGGCCGAUGGCAGAGUAGGUAGUUGGUGGGAUAAAAGCUUACCAAGCCGACGAUCUGUAGCUGGUCUGAGAGAAUGAUCGGCCACACGGGAGGUGGGACAGGGCCCAGGGUCCUACGGGAGGGAGCAGUGGGGAACGUGGGACAGUAGGGGCGAGCAUGGUACAGCGAGGGCGCGUGCAGGAUAGAAGCGUUGGGGGUGUGAACAGGGUUUGUACGGAGCGAAAAGCUUUCGUUUGAGACAGAGGGGUCAUGACGGUAACGGAAAAAUAAGCACCGGCUAACUACGUG